rnacentral:rRNA from 1 species
ACGAAGGGGGCAGGCGUUGUUCGGAAUUAUUGGGCGUAAAGGGAGCGUAGGCGGUUCGGCAAGUCUUUUGUGAAAUCUCUGGGCUCAACCCAGAGUCUGCAAGGGAAACUGCCGGGCUGGAGUAUGGGAGAGGUGAGUGGAAUUCCCGGUGUAGCGGUGAAAUGCGUAGAUAUCGAGAGGAACACCUGAGGUGAAGACGGGUUGCUGGGCCGACACUGACGCUGAGGCGCGAAAGCCAGGGUAGCAAACGGGA